GCCUGCUCGAGUUGCUCGGCCGCCGUCCCGGCGUGCCCCCGCGUUUCUCGCGUGCCCGGCGUGGCAUCCAUGACCGCCACGCUGAUACAGCAAUUGGUGACGAGGACAAUCGACAUGCAUCGCAGCCAAAUGUAAGUCGUCGACUGUGAGCUUACGUCUGCGGCAAGCCCUUUCGCCGUACUUCUGCCUGCACCAUUAUUUUACGGAUCCUCCGUCGUCUUUUUCGGCAAACCUGCCUUCAACAAGCCUUCUCCGGCGUCUUGCAUUCGCCUCUUCUCCUGCCUCAGGUCCUGCCUCGAUAUGAACGCCGCUAUUCCUCCUCCUCCCUUCCAUCAGUGCCCCGACAUGCAGUAAUUCCCUGGCGUGAUUGGCGUCGCGUCUUGCAAGUGUAUAUCGACGCCGCCGCCAGGGACGCCACGCCGGCGCACAAGGAGCUCCUGCUGAAUGCCUUGGGAGUGGAGGGCGUCCGGAUAUACUUCGCCGCUGUUGAACACCAGACGCAGGCCGGCACUGACGGAGAACCAGUGACGCCGAGGCAGUCGACGUACUUGAGGAGGCCCUAACGGUACUCGGCAGGUGUUUUGCGUCGGAAGAAGACGAAGUCGUCGAAACGACUACAAUUCAAGAGGAGGACGCAACAUGUGGAGGAAUCUACGACAUUUCUAAAAGACCUCCACAGGCUUGCAAGAGCGUGCGGGUUCAGGACAGCAAUGGACGCUUUGUUCAAGGACCAAGUUCUCGGCGGACUACUGUCCAACCCACUACGCCGCAAAUUCAUUCAGAUGGAUUAACGAGUUCACCUUUCAAAAGGCCUUGGAAAUUGCAACAGAAGAAGAACGCACGCACAAGUUGAUGCAAGAACUCGGCGUUCUUCAAGUAGACGCGGUAGUACAUCAACAAGGACCGCAACAAGCUCGACACGAUGAGCGUCGCCUGCGACGAGACAUGCAAGAUGGCGGCCUUCCCCCCCCCCCCCCCAGCCGGGUCAAUGGCAAGAUGGCGGCAACUGGUCCAGCCUACCUCCUCAGCCGGGUCAAGAUGGCGGCCAAGGUCGCGACCUUCCCCGACCGAGCCGAGGUCAGGAUGGCGCACGGCGAGAGCGAGAUGGGUCUCCCCAUCAGGGUAGAAGGCAACCGGGUGCCGCUCCUCCCUCCGCAUCGUCGUCGCCUCCGGCCGGCGUCUGCUUCCGUUGCGGAUCGCCACAUCACUGGGCAAAUUUUCUGGGUUGUCCAGCACGUCGCAGGUUCUGCCAGACUUGCGGAAUGAAAGGACAUUUUUUCCAAAUGUGCCGUUCUGCUGAAGGUACCCCAAGAGUCGUUGACACGGUUGAGACGCGGGCCAGCGCGGUUGCGCAUACUGCGACCGUCCUACAUAUGGAAGACGCUGUCGGCGCCCUGGCCCUCUUGCGCGUUCCCGUGCUCGUCAUCGACGUGGUGUUGCCACUUAUGAUUGACUCCGGGGCAGCGGUGUCCCUAAUGCAUCUUGGACACUACCACCAGUACUUCACGCGCAUUCCACUUUAACCGUCCCAUCUGGUUCCCAAAAUUACUUGGAGCAAGUGGUAAAGAUUUUGGUAUCAUUCAAGGCGGAAGUACGUUUACAGGGCAAGUGCACCUGUUACGUUUUAGGUGACGGUUUACGUGACGGAAAGAGGCUCGUCACUACUUGGGCUCGAUGCCAUUAAGGCAUUGAAGAUCAUCAUUGACGGCGAAGCCUUAUCAGUUACCGAGGUCUCGUCCAGCCCAGUGGUCUCAGGGCGUUACGUCGCGUCGGACUGAUGCGAACUCGUACGGCACAGCAGGACUUUGCAACCGCGCCGCAGGCCAACCUCCGUUCGACGUUGCGGCCAGCGAGUGUGAACCUGUGCCGAGUAGUAGAGCCUCCUGAUUCUGCGGACUUGCACAGUGCAGCGGACCAUGCGACUGCUCCCCGCCCUCCUUCAUUGCCAACGUGCGUCUCCCCGAAGCAAGCAUCACAAGCUCCGCGGACAAAACAGCUGUUCCGGCUGGUACUUCAGUCGCAUGGCCUGCUCAUCUUUGUCAUCGCCUUGCUGCUGGCCGCAGUCGUGCCCCUCUGCUUGCACGUGUUCACUGCACUCCUGUCCAGCUGUUCCGGCUGGUACUUCAGUCGCAUGGCCUUCUCAUCUUUGUCAUCGCCUUGCUGCUGGCCGCAGUCGUGCCCCUCUGCUUGCACGUGUUCACUGCACUCCUGUCCAGCUGUUCCGGCUGGUACUUCAGUCGCAUGGCCUGCUCAUCUUUGUCAUCGCCUUGCUGCUGGCCGCAGUCGUGCCCCUCUGCUUGCACGUGUUCACUGCACUCCUGUCCAGCUGUUCCGGCUGGUACUUCAGUCGCAUGGCCUGCUCAUCUUUGUCAUCACCUUGCUGCUGGCCGCAGUCGUGCCCCUCGUUGGCUUGGCUGUUCUCCGGAAGCAGUGCACGAAUAAGCCAGUUUAUGAAGAGCCGCACUCCGCCAGACAGAUUCCACGGACAAGUCGGGUCUUCUGGAUUCUGAUCGUCUCCCUUGCACUCGUGACAGGGCGUAUUUCUAACGAUGCACCCUGCGUACGUGGCAUUGGGGCCGCGCCAAGAAGAUGGCGCGCUUCCUAGCGGAGACUCUGCCUGGUGUUUUAGCAAGCCUAUGAAGGUACCUCUACUGCGAUGCCAUCACGCUAGAGGCAGACACCGUCCUGACCACACUGUACGCAGCCAAUAAAUAUGUCACGCUAGAAGAAGACACCGUCCUGGCCACACUGUACGCAGCCAAGAAAUAUCUGAUCCCCCAUCUGGCCCGGGCCUGCAUUGCCUACUUAGAGACCAGUGUCACCGCUCAAAAGGCCUGCGUCCUUCUCAGCCAGAGCCACCUCUUUAUUUAAUGCUAAAGCGUCCGAUGACCCAUUCAGCGAAAAAGCCGGAGUCUGUCGUCUGUGAUAUCGAAAACGCAGGUCGAUACAGCGAAGAGUCAGUUCACUGCUCUUGAAACGGCAAAGCGCGAUGCACAGGGGCAACUACAAAAACCAGGGAUGCUGUUCCACCUUCACUCUCAUGGCCUGUUCAUCUUUGUCAUCACCUCGCUGCGUCUGGCCGCGGUUUUGCCACUCGUCGGAUUGGCUCUUCUCUGCAAGCGAUUGCACGGAGAAGCUCCUCGGAAAACCGCAUUCCAGCAGCCAGGCAGAUUCCACGGACAAGUCGGGUCUCGUGUUCUCGAUUCUGAUCGUAUCCCUUGCUCUGAUGACACGGUGCAUUUAUCACGAUGCAUCAUGCUUCCGUGGCACUAUGAAGCACAGAAGAAGCAAGCGCAGUACCUAACCGAGACUAUGCCUGGUGUCUCGAGCAAGCC